GCCAAGGCUAGAGUCACAUCUUGUCACAGCUCUUGUCCUGGUGUGCUCGAAUCCUCGAAGAGAAUCUGCUGGUCUUGAUUCACUGGCAGGGACGGUCAGUGCCCCCAUUAGUGCCCAGGUCAGUAACAUAC
ensembl:snoRNA